GNNANUNNUGGGCUUCAGGUCGGGGACAACCGUUGGGAAACGACGGCUAAUACCGGAUGUGCCGAAAGGUGAAAGGCUAGCUGCCUGAAGAUGAGCUCGCGUCUGAUUAGCUAGUUGGUGGGGUAAGAGCGCACCAAGGCGACGAUCAGUAGCUGGUCUGAGAGGAUGAUCAGCCACACUGGGACUGAGACACGGCCCAGACUCCUACGGGAGGCAGCAGUGGGGAAUUUUCCGCAAUGGGCGAAAGCCUGACGGAGCAAUACCGCGUGAGGGAGGAAGGCUCUUGGGUUGUAAACCUCUUUUCUCAAGGAAUAAGUUCUGAAGGGACUUGGGGAAUCAACAUCGGCUAACUCCCGGGCCACAACCCCGGUAAUACCGAAGAAGCAAGCGUUUUCCGGAAUGGUUGGGCCUAAAAGGUCCCCCAGUGGCCCUGGAAAUCUGCUGUUAAAAAACAAAGCUUAACUUUGUAAAAACCGUGGAAACUUACAAACUUGAGUGCGUUCGGGGGAAAAGGAAAUUCCUGGUGGUACGGUGAAAAUGCGUAAAAAUCAGGAAAAAACACCGGGUGGCCAAAGCGCUCUAGCUAGGCCGCAACUGACACUGAGGGACGAAAGCUAGGGGAGCGAAUGGAUUAAUACCCCGGUAUCAANUNNUUGUUCUAAACACUGGUUAUCAGGUAUUUACUCACCCGUAUUCCANNUUNCUUUUCUNCUACUCUCUACU
rnacentral:rRNA from 1 species